UGAUGGUUAAUGUACCUAAUGACUUUCCUGACAAGGUGAAUGUGGGAGUGCGUCUAGAAGAAGAUGUUGGGAAGGGAUGUUCAUAUGAAGAUGGUAGCUCAGCUAAUGGCGUGAAGAAGUUUGAUAAUAACUUUUCCAAGAGGAGAAUCAGAGGAAGAAAUAAUCAUCAUCAGAAUCAUCAUGUUUCUCCUAUUCAUCAACAGAAUCAGCAAGUUCUUAAUCAGAGGAAAACCCAGUUUGAUCCAAUUCCAAUUACUUAUACAAAGUUGUUCCCUAUCCUGAUGCAGAGGAAUUUGGUUCAGACCCGACCUCCAUCGAAGGUUCCUGAGAAGAUA